rnacentral:rRNA from 1 species
GACGAACGCUGGCGGCGUGCCUAAUACAUGCAAGUAGAACGCACAGUUUAUACCGUAGCUUGCUACACCAUAGACUGUGAGUUGCGAACGGGUGAGUAACGCGUAGGUAACCUGCCUGGUAGCGGGGGAUAACUAUUGGAAACGUUAGCUAAUACCGCAUAAUAUUAAUUAUUGCAUGAUAAUUAAUUGAAAGGUGCAAUUGCACCACUAACAGAUGGACCUGCGUUGUAUUAGCUAGUAGGGGAGGUAACGGCUCACCUAGGCGACGAUACAUAGCCGACCUGAGAGGGUGAUCGGCCACACUGGGACUGAGACACGGCCCAGACUCCUACGGGAGGCAGCAGUAGGGAAUCUUCGGCAAUGGACGAAAGUCUGACCGAGCAACGCCGCGUGAGUGAAGAAGGUUUUCGGAUCGUAAAGCUCUGUUGUAAGAGAAGAACGGGUGUGAGAGUGGAAAGUUCACACUGUGACGGUAUCUUACCAGAAAGGGACGGCUAACUACGUG